GUCAUAGGCUCCGCCCAACAGGAAGUUGGAUAUUUAGGGUUUAGUAUUCAUAUUUUUCGUCAAAGUUGUGGGGGCUUUUGGGGUCCUUAACAUACUUAAAAACUCUUGAAAAUUUGCGCACACUUUGGAAUCUGUGGCCUUUAGGAGCCUGCAGAGGCUGGGACCCGGGCGUGGCACAGGGGCUCUAUGGCGCCCCCUGGAACACAGUCAUAAAUGUUGAUGUAUAGCUCACACAUACUUGCUCGUAUUAAUAUGAAACUCAGUACACAUAUAGAUCUCAUCGUGCUGAACAACUUUCGUACUGCAUGUCAUUCGGCUCCGCCCAACAGGAAGUCAGCUAUUUAGAGUUAUGUAAAAAGCGCAUGCUCUGGAAUUUGAAAUACUUGUCAUAGGUUUUUUUGCCGAUUGCCACCAAAUUCGGUCAACAUGAUCUCAAGACAUUGGGGAUGAAAAAUUGCCAGGGGAUUUUUGAUAUCUCGAACGGUUUGCUCGUGGCGAGGUGUUGAAAUUAUGGCGAGAAAUGAGAAACAGGAAGUGUCUAAUACCAUCCACAUACAUUUCCUGAUUUUAAUCAAACUUCAUCAGAUUAUUCUUUGUAUGAUGUCGAUCGCAUAUAUGUGACUAUUAGGAGUCAAAGUUAUAGCGCCACCAACUGGCAGCAGGAAGUGUGUCAUUUUCAAAAUGCUUUGAAUUCAGCAUCUUAUUAUUACUCAAUUUGCUUCAAACUUCAUCAGAAUAAUGUUAAAACACAGCCUAUAUAAAUCUGCUGGGGGGAUAUUGAUAUCUAAAAAUAUUGUUGCCGUGGCAACAUGUUAAACUGGAAUACUUCUCAGGUGAUUUUGAGGCAUAUAACAUGCUUAGAAUUUCAUCAAACUCAGAACACAUAUCAGUAUUUAUGAUAACUAGACACUGGCAAAAGUUCAUAAGAGGGCGUGGAAGAGGCACUCUAUAGCGCCACCUUUUGUCAAAAGUGGGGGGGUUAGUUUUAGCUACAGACACCAAACUCGGUACAAAAAUUGUUCUCAUCAAGACGGACAACUUUCUAAUUCACAGUCAUCAGCUACGAUCAACAGGAAGUCAGCUAUUUUGAUUUGAAUGUGGAUUUUUUUUUUACAUUUAGCUGUGAAUUAAUGCAUACUGCUCAGAGGAGAGUAACACUAUACACACCAAAUUUUGUCUACAUGAUGCCAAAACAUUUUAAACAACUUAAAUUGCCAAUAGAUUUUGGAUAGCUUGAACGGUUUUGUCUCUGUGAUUUUUUUUAAAUGACAUUAAAAAUGGAAUUAUUAAUUUUCCUGCAUUUUUUAAUUCCAAACACUUCAAAACCUUUUUUCAUACAGACAAAAAGUCAUUCUGAGUAAAUAUGGAUAGUUUCACGACUUUACAACACUGUAUGGGUAACAGAAAAUUAAAAAACUGUCAGACAUCUCAUCUCACUUCUGUCCCUCUGUUUGAGUGUAUGUGCUUAGACUUCCAUUGUCUGAGAGAAAUUGCGCCCCUACAGGUGCAAUUACCGGAGUUUUAGUUUCUCUUUUAAAUCGGUUAAAAUACAAAUAAAUACUUAGAUUUAAUUCACACUGACAAGCUAAACCAACAUAUAUGAUUAUUACCGGGUCAGGGCUCAUUAAUAAUUGAUGUGUGGUCAGUGAUACGUGAGAAACAGGAGAGAUUAAUCACCGCUCUGAGCAGGAGCGUGUGGAAUGACGAGCUCAGAAAAAACGAGUUUAUUCUUGUUUCAUAGCUAUUAAGAAUAAAGUAUUGCAGCGAUAUCACACAAUUCACAAAUUAGAACACACCAAGAGCUAAAUUAAGAUGUUUUUGAACUGUUUGUGUGAAAAUUAAAUAUUUGUGGCUGCCUAUCUGAAAUCACCGCUCCGAUCAGCGCGCACAGUGCCACAAGUUCAAAACUAACAAAUUUAUUCUUGUUUAAGAGCUUUUUAAAAUAAAAUAUUGCCAUAAAUGCACACAAUACACACAUUAUAACACAACAAGAGCUAAAUACAGGUGUUUGUGACCCGUUUAAGUGUGCAAGACUAUUUGAAAGCGCGACUGGCACAAUAACAUAUAUCUCUCGAGCUGCAGGAUUCUGCCUUUCGUCGUACGAACGAACACAUCACGGACAAGAUUAUUUCAAAAUACAUAAUAGCUUGGCGAAUAUAAACGAAAACAGCCACGUGAACAUAAACUGUUGAGAAAUAAAUCUGAAGUGGAUCUACUGGAUUUGAAUAUUAAGUGACCGCAUAUACCAGCUGCUUCUGUCUUCAAUUUUAAUCUAUAUAUAUAAAAAAGGAGACUCAUU